AUGGCCGGUGUUGUGGAGGAAGUAGCGCUGCGCCCGUGGAUCUCGCCGGCAGCGGGGAUGCUUCCACGCAGCACGCGUGGUGCUGCAUCCUCUGCAGAUCUCGGCGGGCGGGGUAGUUGCAGCGCAGCACGGCGCAGCGGGCAUGGCGGAGCUGCAGUGCAACAUGUGAUGUUGUACUCGCUGGCGGACCUCGCCGGCGGCGGAGCUGCAGUGCGGCGUUCAUGGUGCUGCGUCCGUCUCAUGGCCGGCACACGGCGGAGCUGCAGUGCAGCGCGUCGUGCUGCGACCGGUGGACCUCACCGGCGACGGGAGCUGCAGUGCGGCGGACAUUACUGGCGCGGCGGAGCUGCAUUGCGACACGUCGUACUGCGACCGGUGGACCUCACCGACGGCGGGAGCGGCAGUGCAGCACAUCGCUGGCGUGGGAGGGCCCUCACCGGCGGCGGGAGCUGCAGUGCAGCCGACCUCACCGGCGGCGGGAGCUGA
rnacentral:rRNA from 1 species